UUGAGGGGCUGGGCUCCGGCAGGAGGACCAGGGCUCCUUGGCUAUGCUCUGGGAGGCUUUCUGUUGCCCUAAGCCAAAGCAAGUGGUGCCCCCCGACCCCAGGCCUUUCAGCAGGCAGCAGGGCCUCCAAGCACCCCCCUUGGAGUCCAGGUUCCGAGGAAUCACAAUGCUCAGAAUCCCUUCUCCUCCUUCAGGAAUCCCUCUCCAACCCCUCCUGGUCCCUCCCCAGCCCCUUAGUGAGCACUAGACUAAAGGAGGAAAGGAACCUCAACAUCUACUCCCUCCCAUUUCACAGAUGGGAAAACAGAGGCCAAGGGAGGGGCAGCCCAAGGGCACAUGGAAGCAGAGACGGGCCCGUGGAGGCUUCCAGGCCAGCCAUUCCCAGACAGAUGAGGAGACCAAGGCCCACAGAGGAUGAAGCCCAGUUAGAGGCUACUUGGCCAAUGAAGGCCUGACCUCUGCCCAUAACACCCUGAAGACAGUGUGUAAGUGAGCACGGGUUUGCAGGCCCAGCUAGCGCUGUCAGGCUGUGUGGGUUGGGGUCAUCCAAGAAGGUCCCUCAGAAGAACUGAGAAAGAACCAGCAACCUCCUUUCUGGGCAGAGCAGAAAGGAGGAGAGGAAGAGCAGGAGAAGACAGAGCUGAGGGACAGACCUUCUCACCUGGAGACUGUCCUGUGGUCAGGAGUCAAUGUGGAAAGCCAUGGUCUCCCUGGACCCAGCCCCAGCCUCCCACCAGGGAGCUGUGACGGGGCUAUGGCCUUGCCAGCACUCGAGAGGCCUUCCCUGCCUGCCACGGCCUUUCUCCAGUGGAUGCAGCCUUCCUCCCCACUGCUGGGCCAGCCAUAGGAUGACAGGUAUCCCCUCACCUAUGCCCAGCUGGACAAGUUUCAAACUUUUCGGAAGCCCCCAGGCCCAGGCUGACUCAAUACCUCCUCAUAUGGGGGCCCCUCACAUGGCUUCUCUCCUCUCUGUGGUCCUUGCUGUAAAUUCUUGGGUUUAAAAUACUAUUAAGUGGGGUGCUUCCUCCUGUUCCUUCCCUCCCCCAGCUGAUUCACUCCUCCUGCCAUUUCAGCUUGCUACCUCUUCCGGGAAGCCCUCCCUGAUUGGGAAAAUUGGGUUAGACAUCUCCUCAGUGCCCAUAGCUGCUCUCUGUUACACAUUCUGUUGUACCUGCAGGUUUAUCUGCCCAUCUCCAUCUACACUGAAAAGUCUCCAAGGGCAUAGAAUCAUCUUGUUCCAUGAUCCCCAAGCUCAGCCUCAAGACCAGCACAAGGUUGGCCCCAGCAAAUGUUUGCUGAGUGAAUAUGUCCACCCGUGAGGGCACAAGCUAAUGAGCUAUUUCCUCCAAAUGAUCCUCAGCCUUUGGCCCAUGAGAGAAUAAGGAAAGAACAUGAAACUUAAGGGUUUCCCCUGACUUCCCAGGUUUCAAUUUCUCCUCUAGAUUUCUGGAAAUCUAAGAUUUAAACAGGCCACCACAGACUCUGUCCAGCCCCUCCCAUCCCAGAGAGAUAGAAAUCCUAAGACAUUAAAUCUCAGACAAGGAUAAGCCCCCUCUCCUACCCUCUUUGGGCACUUGGGGAAACUGAGGUUCAGUAAAAGACAAACACUUGCCCAGAGUCACAGAGCAAAUUAGGUCACAGCCUGAACCAGGCUCCCGACCUCCCAACUCUCUCCCCUAUACCACGGUCAUCCUUGGACCUGUGCCAGCAUCCAUUCCACCAGACCUGCUCUCAGAAUCUUCACUGUCCAGGACAGAGGGGUCACAGAGCUUGGUAGGAAGCUCCUGAUGACCUCACCAUGCAUUUCUCUCGGCUUAGGAAACUCCCCCUCUCCUCCAGAGAAUUGCCCCCCCACCAUGAGACUCUGCAGAGGAAGUUCACCUUGAAGGUGAUGAACACAUCUAAGUCCCCAAGGGGGCAAGGAUUUCCACUGGAAAUGCUGAUGAUUGGGGAGUCCCAGAUGUGACCUCAUCCCCUGGAGGAGUCGCUGCUUGCAGGAAGAUCAGGACCACACAUGCACAUCCUUGACUUGCCCAUGUGUCAGCGACAGCCCUUGGGAGACAACCCCUAGAGCCUUUCUUGCUCUGGCAAGCUCUAAGGGUCAAAGACAAGUGCGGAGCUCAAGGGCACCCAGCAGGUACAUGAUAGCCCAUCUCUCUCCCUGGCCUGCGCUACACUGUGCCAGACUUUCAUCAGGCUGCAGAGGCAGCAACCUCCCUGAUCAGUGCAGGCUGGGCCACUCUCAGAGUUCCCUGCUUUAAUCUUUCUCUAGAACUUGGGGAUCCAAGCAGCAGAAAAUAAAGAAAUUUCCAUACCUAUUCCAGUCCCCACAGCUGUCCUGACUUAAAACUAAAAUCCCCAUCUAUGCCUCACAGAGAAAUGG